rnacentral:rRNA from 1 species
AUACGGAGGAUCCGAGCGUUAUCCGGAUUUAUUGGGUUUAACGGGUGCGUAGGUGGUUUGAUAAGUCAGCGGUGAAAUUUUGCAGCUCGACUGUAAAAGUGCCUUCGAAACUGGUUUCCUUGAGUGUAGAUGAAGUAGGCGGAAUUUGUGGUGUAGCGGUGAAAUGCAUAGAUAUCACGAGGAACUCCGAUUGCGCAGGCAGCUUACUAAACUACUACUGACGCUCAGGCACGAAGGCGUGGGGAUCAAACAGGAUUAGAUACCCUGGUAGUCCACGCAGUAAACGAUGAUUACUAGCUGUUUGCGAUACAAUGUAAGCGGCUGAGCGAAAGCGUUAAGUAAUCCACCUGGGGAGUACGUUCGCAAGAAUGAAACUCAAAGGAAUUGACGGGG